rnacentral:lncRNA from 1 species
UUGUGACUGUACUAUUUAGUGUCAUUGUUUUAUAGAUACCAUAGUGAGAAAGGAUUCAUUUCGCAACUCCUACGGCUUCCACUAGAUGUCAACGAUCUUUAUAAAGUUGUUUGAAGCGUCUAUGAUGAACAGAGACCGGAUGACAAGGAAGAGAAGUUGACCUCCCUGGGAUGUCGUCACUUCAUUAUUGGCUGCACCUGCGCAAUCAUGUGAUGCGAUACAUUUUUCAAAGACGUUUUUCAAGACACAGGAGAGGUCGGGUUGAAACAUUACUGAUGUUUCACGUUAAAAAUGGCUCUAAAGAUUGAUGCUAAACAACGUUUGACAUGUUUGAACAAUGUAAAUAGAUUAUUUUUUUUACUUUUCGCCGUGACUCCCCCCCGCGCUACUUUUUUAGUAGCCUACCGAAGCGCUAACAACAUGGAACAACUUGGAGUUAUUUGGACAUCAAUUAUGAACUUUGUCAAAAGAAACCACAUUUGUAGUGGACCUGGGAUUUCUAGAAGUGCCAAUGGAUGAAGAUAAUCAAAGUCCAUCUGUGGACGGGUUCCAAGUGGAAGAAAGUUGGUGAUGAAGUAAUUUGAGUAUCAUCCGGAUAUUUUGAAAUGAGAACCGAACUGCAAGAAAACCAGUAUCUGGUGGAAGAGGUCAACUGUUCACUCCAGAGUACGAGACCCACAUUAGAGUCAUGGAGCUAGAAGCAGAUGCAGUGCAUCAUGAGCUAAUAUAUGUGGACGAGGCAGGUUUCAACCUUGCAAAAACAAGGGGACGUGGCAGAAAUAUCAUUGGACACCGUGCCAUCAUCAACAUCCUGGGACAACGUGGUGGCAACAUAACAAUGUGUGUGGCUAUUAGUCAAAAUGGCAUCCUUCACCAUCAUGCAAUCCUAGGCCCAUACAACACUGCACACAUUAUCACAUUUCUGGACACCCUCCACAACAGACUAAUCCCUAAUAACCAGGGGCCAGAGCAGCCCAGGUACGUUAUCAUCUGGGACAAUGUUAGUUUCACUGGGCUGCUGUGGUCCGCAAUUGGUUCACAGGUCACCCACUUUUCAUCGCACUCUAUCUCCCCCCAUACACUCCGUUCUUGAAUCCUAUUGAAGAAUUCUUCUCUGUAUGGAGUUGGAAGGUGUAUGAUCGCCAGCCCCACCAACGCAUACCCCUUCUACAGGCAAUGGAGGAGGCUUGUGGAGACAUCGAUCAGAGGUCAUGCCAGGCCUGGAUACGGCACUCCAGGCGAUACUUUCCACGCUGCCUAACUCAAGACAACAUUGCAUGUGAUGUGGGUGAAAUCGUAUGGCCAGACCCACAAAGAAGGCUAGAUGCAGCCUAAUCUUUUUCAGUUAUUUUUUUU